CACGGGUUAAUGCAGGAAGAGAAAGUUCAUUUUCCAUAGUGAUUUCCAUAGUCACAAUUUUAUCAGUAAACGUAGACAUAUGAUUAUCAAAACAGAAUUCAUAUUCACCCUUUUCUUCGAGGGUGAAAAAUACAUCAGCCUGUCUUCUCUUUUUGCCAAGUGCAACGGUCUUCUGAGAUGGUGCCUUGAUCAUAUAAUCGACAUCAAAAGAACCGCCAGACUGAACAGCGUACGUGAAAUGUGUUUUUUCGCCAGUGU